rnacentral:rRNA from 1 species
AUUGAACGCUGGCGGCAGGCCUAACACAUGCAAGUCGAGCGGAUGAGUGGAGCUUGCUCCAUGAUUCAGCGGCGGACGGGUGAGUAAUGCCUAGGAAUCUGCCUGGUAGUGGGGGGACAACGUUUCGAAAGGAACGCUAAUACCGCAUACGUCCUACGGGAGAAAGCAGGGGACCUUCGGGCCUUGCGCUAUCAGAUGAGCCUAGGUCGGAUUAGCUAGUAGGUGAGGUAAUGGCUCACCUAGGCGACGAUCCGUAACUGGUCUGAGAGGAUGAUCAGUCACACUGGAACUGAGACACGGUCCAGACUCCUACGGGAGGCAGCAGUGGGGGAAUAAUUGGACAAUGGGCGAAAGACCUGAUCCAGCCAUGCCGCGUGUGUGAAGAAGGUCUUCGG